UUGCGAUAAGUAGUAUGAAUUGCAAAUUCUGUGAAUCAUCGAAUCUUUGAACGCAUAUUGCGCUCUCUGGUACUCCGGAGAGCAUGCCUGUUUGAGGGUAAUUAAUUAAAUCUUUGACCUUUCUUGGUCAAGGGAUAUGGGCAUUCCGUGUUUAGCACGGUGGCCUAAAAUGUAUGGUUAGUCUCAUCAAGUUGAGAUGUGUAAUAAUAUUUAUUUCACACAACAUUUGAUGAAUUACCAAGUUUUGAUCUAUUUAACUCUGUUAGAUGUGGUUAAAACAAUAUAUUUUUGACAUUACCUCAAAUCAGGUAGGAAUACCCGCUGAACUUAA
rnacentral:misc_RNA from 1 species